rnacentral:lncRNA from 1 species
AGAAAUAGUUACAAUGAAGUUAAAACGAAUAGGAUAAUAAAUAAUGAUGAUGAUAUUAUUGGUAAGAAUAAUUUGAUUAAAACUAUCACAGGUUCUACUGAUAUAUAUAAUGUACCACAGGGAUGCGAGUAUGAAACAAUGUUAAAUAAUGAGGGAGUUUAUAAAUAUAAAGAGAAAACAGUUGAUUAUAAUAUUCUUAAAAAUGUUAGUUAUGUUAAUGGAGAUAGUAACAGUCAUAGUAAUAACAUUAAUAAUAACGACAAUGAAAAUGAUAACAAAAACAGCUACACCAUAAGUGACAAUAACUACAUCACAAGUGACAAUAACUACAUCGCACGUGACAACCUCAGUAAUCAACAACACGCAAAUACUCAUGUAGACACCCAAGGUAUAAAUAACUUUAUCAAUAUUGAUAGUAAUUGUAUUAGUGAUAGUACUAGCAGCACCUGUACUAAUCAUAUUAUGAUUAACCGAAAUUUGAAAAUUAAUCAAAAUGUGAAUGAAAAUGAUACUGACAAAAAUAACAACAUGUUGACUAACUCAAAUAAAAUUAUGUCUAACGCAAAUGAAAAAAUGUUUGAGCGAAAUGACAUAUAUGAUCAAAGCAAAGUGAUAUUAAACCAGAAAAAUGGAUCUAACAUAAAUUAUAAUUAUGGUGAUUAUAAUUAUAAAGCGGUAAAUAAAAAUGAAAUAGGUGACAUGUACAACUUUCAAGAAACACCACAAAAAAUGGGUAAAAUAUGUGUGUAUGAUAAUAAUGUUAAUAAGAAUUGUCUUCUUAAGUCGUUGCCUAAUGAAAAUAUGAUUAGGAAUACGAAAAUCGGUUCUAAGAUUUUAUCUCCUAAAAAAAUUAGGAAUUAUGAAACAUAUUGUGCAGAUGAAUUUAAAAAGAAUACAAAUAGUGGCGUAACAAAUAAUGAAUUUACAAAUAAUAUUGCUAAUAUGUAUGAACAACCUGAACAUUUAAAGAUGCUUACGAAUAGAGAAAAAAGAAAAUAUUUAUCUAAACAACGUGUCGGAGGAGAUAAUACGUUAAAAAUAGAGAACUAUUCAUCUUUGUUACCAUUUCGAGCUGAUAAUUUUGAAAGAGAACAAUUGCGUAAAAGACCUAACAGUGCUUUAUUCAAUGCACUAAUGGAUAUAAUACGUACACAUCGUAUAAAAUUUCAAAAUGUAGAUAAUAUGGAAUUGUCAGAAGACAAAUCAAUUGACAUAAUUAUGAAACAUACAGAUUUGUUAAUAAAUAAACGAAAUAAAAUACCAGCAAAAAAAAAUGUUAUUAAUGUAAACGAAUUAAUAGAAAAUCGUAUAAAGAAAUUUUGGGCAGAUAGUAAAAAUGAAUUUUUUGAAAAGUAUUGUGAUUCUCCUAACCAAUUAAAUGAAAAAGAGAUUGACAAAUUAAAAGAAUUAAUACCUUUUCAAA